GAUGAAGAACGUAGUGAAAUGCGAUAAGUAAUGUGAAUUGCAGAAUUCAGUGAAUCAUCGAAUCUUUGAACGCAUCUUGCGCUCCUUGGUAUUCUGAGGAGCAUGCCUGUUUGAGUGUCAUUAAAUUCUCAACUACACUGACUUUGAAUUGGUGUGGCUUGGAUUUGGGGGGAAAAUUGUUGUGGGCUUUUUGUAUAGUCUGCUCCCCUGAAAUUGAUUAGCGGUACCUUUGUGGAACUGUCUACAGGUGUGAUAAUUAUCUACAUCUUAGACAUCUGCUGGAAUGCUGCUUUCUAAACCUUACUUGUAUUGACAAUCUUGACCUCAAAUCAGGUAGGACUACCCGCUGAACCUAAGCAUAUCAAUAAGCGGAGGA
rnacentral:misc_RNA from 1 species